AUCCCACUUGUUCUUCCCUCCAAAACCCACCAAACAAGACCGGACCAUAUGGAAAACAGAGUCACCCUGCGAUCCCAAUCUCUCCACCACAGCACCACAUUCUUCUGCCUCGAGAAAUUAUCAGGCAGUCUUUUUUUCCCCGUAGAAUUAUUUUACAGCGUGAUACGGCACGAGAAUCAUAAGCACGAUUGAUGCGGACCUGGAAUCCGAUGCUUCUCACCGAUAAGCUAUUGCCACGUGCCUCAUGGAAGCAUCGCAUUAUAAUUUAUUUGCCGCCUUCGUUGCGAGCAAGAUCCUCCUCGACAUCAGUCCUGGAAUCGGUGCAUUGCGGUGAUUCUAGCUACUUCUGGGACCGUAACUUUGUCUCCGAGGCCCUCAAGAUUUCAGCUAAAGUCCGUUCCAUCCUUGGAGGGGAGCAGUUGCAUGCAGCCAUAGUGAAAUUUGGCUUAGUGGACGUGUUAUCCUUGCAAAAUCAGAUCUUGGACGUGUAUGUUAAGUGUGGGCGAUGUCAGGACGCAUGGAGACUGUUCGAAGAAUUGCCCGUGAGAAACGUUGUCACUUGGAAUACUCUGAUUAAUGGGCUCGUCGGAUUUCCCCACAACGUGAAGUAUGAUUGCUGCACUGUUUUUUCUGCUAUUAGGAGGAUGCAGCUGGAAUCAGUGAACCCCGAUUUUCUUACCUUUAGCAGUCUUCUCCGAGCUAGUGUUGAGUGCAAAAAUAUGGGGAUAGGUACACAGUUGCACUGUUUCAUAGUGAAAUAUGGGUUUCUUCAGAACUGUUUUGUCAGUAAUUCUCUCCUUAACUUCUAUGGGAAACUUGGUGCUAUACAAAAUGCUAGGCAGCUUUUUGAUGAAGUUAAAUACCGGGAUUUAGCAGUUUGGAAUGCAAUGCUGUCCUGCUAUGCCUUGGAACCUUCUCCCAGAGGAGGGGCUUUAAGGAUAUUUUGCUCGAUGCACCAGGAAGGCUUGAAAGGGGAUGAGUUUACGUUUUCUAUGUUGCUGAGCUUUUGUGCUGCUUCCGUAUUUUUGCACCUAGGCAAGCAGAUUCAUGGGCUAAUAGUUAAAUUUUCUUUUGCUGUUGACGUUCUAGUUUCCAGUGCCCUCAUUGAUAUGUAUGCGAAAAAUGGGCUAGUGGAUGAUGCUCGCAGGACCUUUGAUGAGAUGCCCUUUAGGAACCUGGUCUCUUGGACCACAAUUAUCGUAUGUUAUGGAAAGCAAGGAAAUGGGAGGGAGACUAUGAGGAUUCUCCGAGAAAUGCUCCGAAGAGACUUCCACCCAGAUGAGUUAACCCUCUCUAGUGUUCUUACCUCAUGUGGAAAUGUAUCUGCAACCAGCGAAAUUCUUCAGUUGCAUGCGUAUUUGGUGAAAUCACGACUUCAUACCUUUUUGUCUGUAUCUAAUUCUCUGAUCAGUGCAUACUCGAAGUGUGGCAGCAUAGAGAGUGCUUCACAGUGUUUUGACUCAUUUGCUGAACCUGACAUUGUCACAUGGACUUCAAUCAUCUGCGCAUAUGGGUUUCAUGGGCUUGCAAAAGAAUCUUGCGAAAUGUUCAGAAAGAUGUUGUCCCAUGAAAUAAGACCUGACAAAGUUGCCUUCCUCGGGGUCCUCUCUGCCUGUAGUCACGCUGGACUAGUAAAUGAAGGGCUUUACUACUUCAACUUGAUGACCGAUGUAUAUGGAAUUAUACCCGAUUCAGAGCAGUAUGCUUGUCUGAUUGAUCUUGCAGGGCGUCAUGGUCUUCUAGAACAAGCUUAUGAAGUUUUAAGCUCAAUGCCGGAGCUGGAUCCGAGCACUCUUGGAGCAUUUAUUGGGGCAUGUAAGGUCCAUGGAAACUCAAGACUUGCCCGGGAGGCAGCUGAUAGGCUGUUCUCUUUGGAGCUGGAUAAGUCUGUUAACUAUACCCUCUUAUCAAAUAUUUAUGCUCUUGAAGGAAAGUGGGAAAAUGUGGCAAGAGUUAGGAAACUAAUGAAGCAGAGAUGUGAACACAAAGUUCCUGGAUGUAGCUGGAUCGAGGUUUCUGGAAAUGUCCAUACAUUUGUCUCGGGCGAUAAGUCUAACCCCAGAAGCUCAGAAUUGUAUGAUGCUCUAGAAAUGUUCCUUUGGGAAGUCAAUGAGGGAAGCAGUAUCUUCUGCGGCUCAAAUAUAUGGCACUAUAAGCAUGUGGAAGAGAAGUUAUGUGACUAGAAGGCAACAGAUCUGCAGAUGCUGCGCCCUCUGUCAUCGUUUCAUAACUACAAGGAUAAGAAAUUUUUAUCCACAAGUUUUUCUUCCCAGCUUUCCAAAUAUCUUCUCCUGUCCCGUAUGCGCUCUGUACCUGAAAUCUGCAUAAAUCCUCUCGUCGUCUUCCUCCCUUCUCUCAGAGGUGCUCGCAGCCAUUGAUACACCAACUCGAUCCUCUGUAGCAUCAACGACCUGAUCAGGGUCUUGGGUUGGUGUUCGAACAGUUUGUCGAUUUCUUUGAUUUCUCUCGUCUGUGGAA